rnacentral:hammerhead_ribozyme from 1 species
AUCCGGAUGAUGAAUCCCACAUAGAACGAAAUGCACAUCCUGGAU